UACAGGGGGGGCAAGCGUUGUUCGGAAUUACUGGGCGUAAAGGGUCUGUAGGUGGCCAACUAAGUCAGACGUGAAAUCCCUCAGCUUAACUGGGGAACUGCGUCUGAUACUGGAUGGCUCGAGUGUGGGAGAGGAAUGCGGAGUUCCAGGUGUAGCGGUGAAAUGCGUAGAUAUCUGGAGGAACACCGGUGGCGAAGGCGGCAUUCUGGACCAUAACUGACACUGAGAGACGAAAGCCAGGGGAGCAAACGGG
rnacentral:rRNA from 1 species